UACAGAGACCUCAAGCGUUACUCGGAUUCACUGGGCGUAAAGGGUACGUAGGUGGCAGUGUGUGUUGGAUGUGAAAUUCCGGAGCUUAACUCCGGCGCUGCGUCCAAAACUAUAUUGCUAGAGUGGUGUAGAGAAGAGCGGAAUUUCUGGUGUAGCGGUAAAAUGCGUAGAUAUCAGAAAGAACACCGAUGGCGAAGGCAGCUCUUUGGGCACCUACUGACACUGAGGUACGAAAGCGUGGGGAG
rnacentral:rRNA from 1 species